rnacentral:rRNA from 1 species
GGACUACCGGGGUAUCUAAUCCUGUUCGCUCCCCACGCUUUCGCGCCUCAGCGUCAGUAUCAGGCCAGGUGGCUGCCUUCGCCAUCGACGUUCCUUCCGAUCUCUACGCAUUUCACCGCUACACCGGAAAUUCCGCCACCCUCUCCUAUACUCUAGUCGCACAGUCUGCGAUGCGCUUCCCAGGUUAAGCCCGGGGCUUUCACAUCACUCUUAUGCCACCGCCUACGCGCCCUUUACGCCCAGUAAUUCCGAUUAACGCUCGCACCCUCUGUAUUACCGCGGCUGCUGGCAC